ensembl:lncRNA
GUCACUCCCGAGGGUCCUUCACUGGCGAAGAUACUCAGUCCCACGAGACCCCUUCAAGCCUCCAUUGAAUCAUCUGUGAUAUAUGACAUCUAUAAUCUGAAGUGCCAUCCCUCCAGUUGCUCAGAUCAAAAAUCUUGGAGUGCGCUUCCCUGGUGGCCUAAUGGUUAACAAUCCACUGGCCAAUGCAGGGGACACCGGUUCAAUCCCUGGUCCGGGAAGAUCCCACAUGCCAUGGAGCAACUAAGCCUGUGCCCGAGCAACCGCUGAGUCCAUGCACAUAGAGCCUGUGCUCCACGCGAGAGAAGCCACCACGAGGAGAAGCCUGAAUACUGCAAGAAGAGUAGCCCCCACGCUUGCUGUGUGUGAAACUCAGCACAGCUGGAAUCACUGGCAUGGAUGCCUUCACCUGGCUCUUCAAGACAUGUGGAUGCCAGCUCUGCUCCAGCAUAAUCCCUUUUCAGAAAGGAGUAAAGUAGGGCUUUCCUGGCAGCUCAGUGGUAAAGAAUCU